rnacentral:pre_miRNA from 13 species
UUUCCUGGGCACCCGCCCCUCGGCGCCCCCUCUCCCAACCCUUGUACCAGAGCAUAAACUGAACCCCUGGUACGGGGCCGUGGGAGAGGGGGAGCCGGGGCCCCGCGACCCCCUCCGGA